rnacentral:rRNA from 1 species
UACAUAGGUCUCAAGCGUUGUUCGGAUUUAUUGGGCGUAAAGGGUGCGUAGGCGGCGUUGUAAGUCGGGUGUGAAAUUUCGGAGCUUAACUCCGAAACUGCAUUCGAUACUGCGGUGCUUGAGGACUGGAGAGGAGACUGGAAUUCAUGGUGUAGCAGUGAAAUGCGUAGAGAUCAGGAGGAAGACCAGUGGCGAAGGCGGGUCUCUGGACAGUUCCUGACACUGAGGCACGAAAGCCAGGGGAGCAAACGGG